AGUGAACGCUGGCGGUAUGCCUAACACAUGCAAGUCGAACGGCAACACAGUAAGCUCUCGCCCUUUCGGGUGGCGACUGGCGGAUGGGUGAGGAAUACGUCGGCAUCUUCUUUUUCGGGGGGGAUAUCGUAGGGCAACUUAUGCUACUACAUCAUACCAUCUACGGUUGAAAGCAGGGGAUCUUCGGACCUUUCGCGCAUUCAUGAGCCGAUGUCGGAUUUGCUAGUUGGGUGGUUAAAGGCCAACCAAGGCAACGAUCCGUAGCUGGUCUGAGAGGAUGAUCAGCAAAAUUGGAACUGAGACACGGUCCAGACUCCUACGGGAGGCAGCAGUGGGGAAUAUUGGACAAUGGGGGAAAGCCUGAUCCAGCCAUACCGCGUGGGUGAAGAAGGCCUUCGGGUUGUAAAGCCCUUUUGUUGGGAAAGAAAAGCAGCAGGUUAAAACCCCGCUGUUCUGACGGUACCCAAAGAAAAAGCACCGGCUAACUUCGUG
rnacentral:rRNA from 1 species